rnacentral:lncRNA from 1 species
GGUGAACUCGAACCAUCGAAAGAAUUCAAUGUCACAUCGGAGUCUUUUCAUAUCGGCCAGCCAUAGCCGACCAAACUCCUUUUGCUGCUCUUUAGAAUAGGUACUGGUGUACCAUUUCCUCUUUAGAGCAUCUUUGGGAAGGUACCAUCGGGCUUCAAGAGCUUUAAGGUCAGGUAUAUACUCCUCAUCAGAUUUGAUAACGAGUAAGCUAGGGUCAGUCCGA